rnacentral:misc_RNA from 1 species
AGAUUGACAAAGAGGAGACAUUCUUGCUAGCCAAGCAGUACUUACAAUUUGGAUGCACUGAAGAAGAGACAAACAAUGUCUGUCUGAAGAUCCGUUCCUUGAAAAAGUUAUUCCUGCAACAGUUGGAUCAAAAUAAUAAUGCUUCAAGUUCUUCUAAGUGUUCUUUAUUAGCUACCAGAACCGUUGCAGAAAAGCCAUCAACAGGAAGCAUGUCACAAGUUGUGGAA